UCAGAGCAUACCUGAGAGGCAGCAGCAAAGUCUGGCCUUUGAUUGAUCUGGUCAUGGUUACUAGGAUGGAGGUUCAAAAGUCCUUUGGGUGGCACCCUGUUGGAAAGUACAGAGGAAAAGGGAGGAAGAGAUACCAAACUUAAGAAAACACUCUUGACCCUCAAUUGGGAAGGUUAAACCAACACCGCAGGCAAUGGGGGAAAGCAG